AUGACGUCACGACGCCCCGGUCAGGGCCUGGGCGCGGCUCGCGGGCCGGGUCGUCGCUAUAGCAAUGAGGAGCCGCCACCUGUCCUGCGGAGGGACUCGCUCCACCUGAGGCCUGAGGCGGUAGCGGGGAGGAGGCCGAAGCCCCGAGGUCUCUGCGCCGUCUUGUCGGCCGCCUACGGGCGAGAAGGUGCGCUUCUGGAGCCGGGGAGGGUCGGAGGGGCAGACUGUGAGAGAAGCCGUCCCGCCGGGACCCAUUGCCCACACCCGGGCUACGGACCCUCUUCUUGGGGCUCAGGGCCCUCAGGCUUCCACCUGCGCCUUACCGUCCCGAAGCGCUUUCCUGUGCGCAGGCUGCAGGCACUGCCUACGAUCUUCGAGCCACCGUUGAAGGAAGCAACUGCAGAGGCCUUUCCUGACCACCCUGCCUGAAACAGCAACAUGAUGUGUGGAGAGCCUACUGGAUGCCAAGCACCAUGCAUUAGGACUCAGCUCUUCUGGCUUCCAGGCUAGUGUUCUUUCCAUUGCAUCAGCAGACUUUUAAAAUAUGAGGUGGGGAUUCCAGCCUCUUAUCCCCCACUUUACUCAAAACAGCUCCUCCACUUUAUGCAUUGGAGUUCCACAACACAUUUAAAAUAAGGGUUCAAUGCUUUAAAAAGGUGUUUGAGAAGCAUUGCUGAAAUUAUGGAACUUGAGGAUUUUUGUCAUUGUCUCUUAUUUUGAUAAUAAUACAAAAUUACUGAUCAUAAAGAUAACUUUUUUUGUACUUAUAAUUUAUGAAGGAUAAUACUGUGACUAGGACUAUAGUUUCUUAUGUAAGAUUUUCUCAAACUGGGAUCCACAGACCUGGGUAUCCAGAACAUUCUUCAAUGUUGGAAACAUGUCUUUUCCUUUAAAAGUGGUCUAUACUGAAUUAACUCUGGGAAAUGCUGUGCUAGAUCUGCUGUUUUUCUGUAAGAACUGAGGAGGGAGUAAGGGAAGGAAGGGAUUUAUGCAAAAGCAUCUUUCUGUACCUUAUUUUCUGUAUAUUUAUUGGUGGAAGAUGUAGAGAACAUUUCAUCUCCUCAUCUUCCCUUUCUCUUCCCCCAGGGAAUAAGAUAGUGUGGGUGACUCUGCAGCCAGAUGGGCUUGGGCUCAAAUCCUAGCUUUAACUGGGCAAGUUCUGUAAUUCUCUGUGCCUCAGUUUUCUCAUCAGUAAAGUGGGAAUGAUGAAAGUACCUCCUUUAUAGAGCUAUUAUAUAUCAAAUGAGUCUAUUCAUGUAGGCACUUAGCAUAUUGCCUACACAUUGUUACAUGCUCAUUAAAUGUUGGUUAUCAUUA